rnacentral:rRNA from 1 species
UUGAUCCUGGCUCAGAUUGAACGCUGGCGGCAUGCCUUACACAUGCAAGUCGAACGGCAGCGCGGACUUCGGUCUGGCGGCGAGUGGCGAACGGGUGAGUAAUACAUCGGAACGUACCCUGUUGUGGGGGAUAACUAGUCGAAAGAUUAGCUAAUACCGCAUACGACCUGAGGGUGAAAGCGGGGGACCGAAAGGCCUCGCGCAGCAGGAGCGGCCGAUGUCUGGUUAGCUAGUUGGUGGGGUAAAGGCCCACCAAGGCGACGAUCAGUAGCUGGUCUGAGAGGACGAUCAGCCACACUGGGACUGAGACACGGCCCAGACUCCUACGGGAGGCAGCAGUGGGGAAUUUUGGACAAUGGGGGCAACCCUGAUCCAGCAAUGCCAGCAGUGUGUGAAGAAGGCCUUCGGGUUGUAAAGC